GACGAACGCUGGCGGCGUGCCUAAUACAUGCAAGUCGAACGCUGAAGAGAGGAGCUUGCUCUUCUUGGAUGAGUUGCGAACGGGUGAGUAACGCGUAGGUAACCUGCCUUGUAGCGGGGGAUAACUAUUGGAAACGAUAGCUAAUACCGCAUAACAAUGGAUGACACAUGUCAUUUAUUUGAAAGGGGCAAUUGCUCCACUACAAGAUGGACCUGCGUUGUAUUAGCUAGUAGGUGAGGUAAUGGCUCACCUAGGCGACGAUACAUAGCCGGCCUGAGAGGGUGGAUCGGCAAACCGGGACUGGGACACGGCCCAGACUCCUAAGGGAGGGAGCAGUAGGGAAACCUUCGGCAUGGGGGCAAACCUGAACGGGCCACCGCGGCUGGGGGAAGGAGGUUUUCGGGUCGUAAAGGCUCGUUGUAAGUCAAGAACCGGUGUGAGAGUGGAAAGUUCACAAUGUGAAGGUAGCUUAACAGAAAGGGACGGCUAAAUAAGUG
rnacentral:rRNA from 1 species